rnacentral:rRNA from 1 species
UACGUAGGGUGCAAGCGUUAAUCGGAAUUACUGGGCGUAAAGCGUGCGCAGGCGGUUAUGUAAGACAGAUGUGAAAUGCCCGGGCUUAACCUGGGAACUGCAUUUGUGACUGCAUGGCUAGAGUGUGUCAGAGGGGGGUAGAAUUCCACGUGUAGCAGUGAAAUGCGUAGAUAUGUGGAGGAACACCGAUGGCGAAGGCAGCCCCCUGGGAUAACACUGACGCUCGAUGCACGAAAGCGUGGGGAGCAAACAGG